GAUGAACGCUCGCUACAGGCUUAACACAUGCAAGUCGAGGGGAAACGAUGAGAGAGCUUGCUCUCUUAGUCGUCGACCGGCGCACGGGUGAGUAACGCGUAUCCAACCUGCCUCUGACCAAGGGAUAACCCGUCGAAAGUCGGACUAAUACCUUAUGCAGUCGUCGGAAGUCAUCUGAUGACGACGAAAGAUUUCAUCGGUGAGAGAUGGGGAUGCGUCUGAUUAGCUUGUUGGCGGGGUAACGGCCCACCAAGGCGACGAUCAGUAGGGGUUCUGAGAGGAAGGUCCCCCACAUUGGAACUGAGACACGGUCCAAACUCCUACGGGAGGCAGCAGUGAGGAAUAUUGGUCAAGGGGCGUAAGCCUGAACCAGCCAAGUAGCGUGCAGGAUGACGGCCCUAUGGGUGGUAAACUGCUUUUAUGCGGGGAUAAAGUGAGGGACGUGUCCUUCAUUGCAGGUACCGCAUGAAUAAGGACCGGCUAAUUCCGUG
rnacentral:rRNA from 1 species